rnacentral:lncRNA from 1 species
CACAUUUCAAAUCUAUUUUUUAAUAAUGAAUACAAUUACGUUAUGCAAAUGCUAUAUAAUUGUCUAUUGAACAUCAAGAGAACAUACAAUAUAUACUAGAAAGGAUAUCACACGUGAUCAAGAAUAACGUAAUACAGUGAUGAAAAUACAAACCGUGACAAUAAUUCUGAGAAAUAUACAUUUUAAGUUUUGUAUAUUAAAACAAAAUAAGGUUUUACAUAUAUGUAUAUUUUAAUAUUUUCUUAGUAUCAGGGAAUCCCCCAUUGACAUGCGAUUAUUCAUGAUAUCUAAAGCCUAGAUUAAAUUUUUGCAUCUAAAUAAUGACUGCUUAAAUCAAAAUAUCACAAUAUUUAAUUGGGUUUUUUUAUUCUCCUCGCUACUCGAUUUAAUCUAGGCUCACAUUGGAAAAUUACUUUUUAAUUACAUUUUCUUAUGAGUCACAGACACAGUGGAUUUUCUGGAAAUUAGCCAAUACUUUCCAUGUUAUCCACUAAACUGUACAUUUUUAUCAGACAUUUACUAGGGAACUUUGUAAGGCCAAAAUAGACACAGUGGAUAUAUUCUCCAAGGCAUUUAUGUUUCCAGUUAUUUUCACACAAAAUUCACAAACUUCUCAAAAAUGUCCAUUUAAUUAAUCUGUGUAGCUUUGUUCAUUACUUGACUGGGAACCAGGAUUAUCCAUAUCUUGCAACUAAAAAUAAGCUAAUAAUAUAAUUAUAUUUUAAAACACUUGAACCUAUAAUCUAUUAAAAUAUAACAAAUUUUAAUGGUGGUGUCUCAUUUGUAUGAGACAAUCUUAGACAUACUUAUUGAAUGACUUGAUUAUUAUUUGAAUUGACAAUACUGGGUAUAUACAUAGUGGUAUAAGGAUUAUUUUCAUACACAAAAUCUAUUUGAUACAUCCACAAUUAUACAUAUGGUGUAAAACAAUGAAACAUGCAAUAUCUUCUAAUACCUCUUUUAUUGAAUAGCCUGUAGGAAAAGUAAGCUUUUAUGGUUACUCAGAUAUUGUAAGGUACUACGGUUUUCAUAUAUUUAGCAUUUACAUCACUUGGCUAACUCAGAUAGUUCAAAGUAUUCAAAUAUAUACAUAUUUAUAAAAUGUAUACAUAUAUGCACACAUCCAUGCAACGCAAGUUAUAUAUUUUUAACACUGCAUAAUAAAUCUAGUUUGAAAAAUAAGGAUUUAGUUACACAAUAUAAUGCUAUCAUGCAUUUAACAGACCACCAGUGUGCAAAUUGAAUCCAUUUUUUUGUUGUUAAAUUGCCAUGGCAAUACAGAUAUGGGAGAUAGCUCUCACUGCUCCUCUUGCCUCCCCUUGCAUUCCUGAGUGCUAUUCUGACUUAGGGCAAAGAGAAGAUGUGAUAUGACAUCAAAUUGUCCAGGUGUUUUGACUUAAUAACAUAGCAAAGAAAUGCAAGGGAGUAUGAAAGUUGUCUCUAAUGUUGGAGCAUGUAAUGACAGCCCAUUCCACACUAGACACCAGUUCCCACAAAUUAGAAGUUGUUUUCUAAUUUGGCUAUUUUGGCCAAAAACUUAAAAUGUGAAUAGUUGGACAGCUAUGUAAGUGCAUAAAUGACUAAUUAGGUGUUAGAGUGGCUAGUUAUAUAUAAACAUUUCUUUCUGUAAGUGGCUAGUUAUGUUUGUGUGUGAAUAGCAAGUUGUGGGAGUGGUUAUUUUUGCAUGUGUGUGCAGUCAAUCCGAUAUAUGUUUGUGAGAAUGACUGAAUAAGCAUUAUUGUAAGUUUGGAUAAUUAGUUGUAUUUGAGCCUACCUAAGUAUCUGUGUGAAAAUAUUAGCUAUGUGUGUAUUUCUUAUUAAUUACUUUUUAUAGGCUUGUAAUUUGGCAUUGCCUACUAAAUUAUAGAAACCUGUCAAACUGUGAACAAGUUAUAUUGGAAACAAUGUGCUUGGCUAAACAUGAUAUAGCCAUGCUUUUUGAUAAUUUUUUUAUUUUAUUUUUUUUAAAUCUGAAAUAUCGUCUUUUAUGCAGGAUUUGUUAACGUCAUAUCUUGAGUUAUAUGGGAUCCUCCAUGUGCGAAUUUCAGUCAUUUUAAUAGCACACUAAUUAAUGUGUUUGUUCAGGUGCUAACACACACUGGGUAUUUUGAAGAUACAUUUUUGGCGUGAGCUAACUUAGGUAUUUUAUCAACUGCAGGAUAAAUUAUAAAAUAAAUCUUACAGUUUUACUGUGUCCAAGUUAUGCCCAUUGGAUUUGUGUGGAUUAUUAUCUUGAAGGCAUGCCCCUCCAAUUCUUUGCUCAAAGUAUACUUACUACUUGUCUGGUAAACAAGAUGUCCCUUCCCCCCAAAGUACCUCAUACACAAUGAUUUUGUUUUGCUCAAGGUGUUAUGGCUUUCUACAUUUCUGUAAUGGGCAUAUCCAUUUAUUUUAUAUUUUGUUAAACAUUUUAUCAUUUCUCUCUUUCUCCAUACUGGCACACUUCCCUUCCUUUUCCUUAAUUCCAGGUAAGUCAAUUCUAGUACUUACCCAAUGUAUUGUAAACUAAUUUCAACUAAUUAGGACUAAAUGUAAUUAGUUUGUAUUAGAAUCAGAUUCCUUUAUAUUAAAAAAAAAACAAAAAAACACUUUUCAAUUUAUUUUCUCUUGGACUUUAAUGUAGACAUUAAACAUUUUUUACAACAGAAUGGAAUCAUUUAUGAUUUGGGGUCAAACUACAAACUAAUUAAAUUAAGGCCUUUAUACCCUAACAAUCAAUUUUGCCCUUUUGUUUAAUUCUUCUUUCUUUCUUCCUCAUCAACUUUUUUAAAGUCCCUUUUGCAAACCUGUUUGGCACAAACUGGUAUAUAUGUGCUAUACAUUUUGAUAAUGACUGCAGGAGUCUGUGACAAUGCUGGACAUGUGUAAAAGUAUAGCACAAAGAUCAAUGGAGGUCCCUUGAGGACCACAAAAUCCUGAAAAAAAACAGCAUGCUUAAUGCGCUAGAUGAAGCCUAAAUCCUACAACUGUAAUUAGUGAUAGUGGUGGGAAGUCAUAAAACCUGACAGUGGAAGCUACACUUUUAAUCAAGUUUUGUCAAUUUGGGCUUGACCAUAAGACAACGAAGUCCUUUGUCUUAUGAUAUCUUUUGACUUCAGAAUAUAUCUUUUUAAAAUACUGAAUACUGAAUUAGCCACUCUAAUGUGUGCAGUGAUUGUGCUUUAAUAAGAAUUUACAGUGAUAAUAUUACCAUAAUAUAUUUUACUGGUUUAUGAAAAUAUAUGUUGAAUGGAGCAGGACUGCUUCCUAUAAACAUUGAGAAAUGUGAAAUAUACAGAUACACAUGUAUGGCGGAAUUGUCAGAUAAACAUAUAUGAUGUCUUACUAGGGCAGUGGUUCCCAACCCAGUCCUCGUGGAACCCCUACCAGUCCAGGAUUCAGGGAUUACCCAGUUGUAUCUAAGGUGUUUUUAGAAAAAAAGAACACCUUGGACACAACAGAGUGAUCCCUAAAUCCUGGACUGGUAGGAGUUCCACGAUGACUGGUUUGGGAACCACUGUACUAGGGUAUACUAACCCUGGCCUUAAUUUGAAUCUUAAAAGUAAGAUUUUAUUUAGGAACGGAUUAUAACUAGACCUUUUCUGACAUUUAGUUUUAUAUAUAAAAUGUGUAUUUAUCUAGGGGACUGGACCAUAUUUUGAAUACAAAUCAAUUGCAAUAUUCAUUCCAUUUUGGUGGCAGUGGCCCUUUAAAUUCACCUGAUAAUCCCCAUGAACCAAGAAUAAGCACAUAUAUAUUACAGUCCAGUACUCAAACUUAAAAUAAUAAAUGCCAAGGUGAGAUUCCAGCCAUAAAACACAAAUAUAUCGUGAGAGAAGGCCUCUUACAGGUCUUGCGCAAAUAUGCUUAUUUUUUUAAAUCAUCACGUUUCAUGCCUUUAAAAUCUCUGUAUGUUUAAACUAACAGUAUUUGAUGCAACAAACUCGUCCCAAUUAUUUCCAUAUCUGCAACAGGAUUAUCAAACCCAAGGAGUUAACCACAGAUGUCACUUCAACAAAGCCCCGUUCUGAGAUGGAACACCCUCACAAGACUCCAUGGGAAUCACACAAGUUUUGGCAAACCCCAUCCAUGGUGGUCCUUUUUUAGACCCUGCUCUGUGAUUGGUCAUGAAAACAGGGGGUGCCUGUCAAGGCCUAAGACCAAAAUAAGAUUGACCACAAGAUGAGGGCAGAAGGAAAGUCCGUACCACUCCAAAAGGAUGGACCACCAUCUUAAAUUUGUCCACCAGACCCCUUGAUCAGGAUGAAGAACAUAUUCUCUCUAGGGGGGAGAUAUUGUGCAUUCCUUCUAGUGAACCUAGUACCUUCCUGUGCAACUGAAUAAUUCAGAUUCAAUAUUUUAUGGAGAUUAAGUACAUUUUUUACGGACAAAGAAAAAGAAUCUCUAUACAGGGAGUGCAGAAUUAUUAGGCAAAUGAGUAUUUUGACCACAUCAUCCUCUUUAUGCAUGUUGUCUUACUCCAAGCUGUAUAGGCUCGAAAGCCUACUACCAAUUAAGCAUAUUAGGUGAUGUGUAUCUCUGUAAUGAGAAGGGGUGUGGUCUAAUGACAUCAACACCCUAUAUCAGGUGUGCAUAAUUAUUAGGCAACUUCCUUUCCUUUGGCAAAAUGGGUCAAAAGAAGGACUUGACAGGCUCAGAAAAGUAAAAAAUAGUGAGCUAUCUUGCAGAGGGAUGCAGCACUCUUAAAAUUGCAAAGCUUCUGAAGCGUGAUCAUCGAACAAUCAAGCGUUUCAUUCAAAAUAGUCAACAGGGUCGCAAGAAGCGUGUGGAAAAACCAAGGCGCAAAAUAACUGCCCAUGAACUGAGAAAAGUCAAGC